AUGUAGACCUCCAUCCUCCCGGUGGUUCACGGUGAUGCCACUGACUCUAUGUCCCUCCUCGUCCCACACAAUGUGAAGAUGAGUCCACUGUGUAUCUAAAUGAGGUCUGCAGGAUGGGCACCCUCUAGGCAGGUGUGAUGGAGAAGCUGACAGAGUCCAUGGUCCCAGCCUUCCCGGGUAGAAUCAUCUGCAAUGUCACCACCUUUGUGUGCAACUACUCAGCCUUCAACACUUCCCACCAGGUCCUGGACCAACUGUUUACCAGGACUUUUGAAGACACUUAGCAUAACUCAAUGAAUGAAGCAGACACCAUCCCUGGUCCUCAAUUCUACUCUGAGAGUCAGGCAGUCACACUCGAAAUCAUUCACAGGUACUGUCCACUAUACGAACCAUGAGAUGCCCUUGUAUCUUCUUGGACAUAUGGAGGCAUCUUCCCACAUUGUGAGUGGGAUGAUGGACCAAAGGACCACCUAAAAAAAUGAGUGGUCUUUGGGUCCAGAAGGAGGGCCUCCUGUCUCUAGAGAACAUGUUUGAGGGAGAGUAUGGGGCUGUGGCUUUGGCAGGCCUAGCAGAACCCUGCAUCUCACUCAUCUUUUGAUUCUUAUGGGAGGGCUGAGUUCUGGUGGCUUCCACUCCAGGAGGACAGGAGUCAAAGAGAGCUGUGGAUGGGUCUCAGGCCCCCUGGGAACCAGAAGGGAAGCUGGGCUUAGUUGUUCCCUAGAGACCCAUCCCACCAGAGUCUCAUCUCACUCUGCCUCCCUUUCUCCACAUCCACCCCUUUUGGCCACCACCACCAGGUCCAGAGCAGGAGAUGCAUGAUAAAGUUGCUCACAAAUCUGCCUGAGUCUUCAGUCCAGUGGCCCUCGUGCAUGGAGGGUUGGGGUGGGCUGUAUCCAGGCCCUUUGGGAGAAGAGUGUCAGUGGGAACAAGAGACUCCCACAGACUCUGUGUUCAACCUGGUGGAUGAGCAGGCCUGCCACUGCAAGGACAGCCACACAGGGUUCAGGGCUGGGAUGGGGCUCUCCUCUGGAGGAGAAGAGGCAGGCACAGGGGUCCAGAUCCAAACAAGGGUGCUUCAGGAGGGCAGUGUGGAAAGAAAGGCCAGGUCUCUGACUCUGCGGCCCAUCUGCUGCUCCUCAGUGCUAUCUCUUUUAUGGUGGGAAGCUGGCUGGACCAAGGGCAGGAUUUCUGGGAGCGCCUGCACUUUCCCUGUUUGACAGUGAAGCUGGCCAUUGUUCAUGUCAGCUUUGGUGGCUGAAGGGAAAUGGAGGUACUGUAGACAAUCAGACUGGAGCAGCUUCGGUGCAGAUGUGACUCAGCAUGUCCCCUGCAGGCAGUGCACACGCCAACCAUGUAUGUAAACACCUUACGUAACCUGCAUAAUGUAAACAUUGUAUGUCAUCUGCUGGCUGUAUGCCGCUUUUGUCUAGUAGUCAUUUAAAAGUGGCCACAAGGGGAGCUGCUGUGCUCCCACCGUCUGUGGGCCAGAGUAAACAAAGAGUAUGUCUCCCUUGCGGUUGGCUGCUCACAGCUUUUUUCUUUUCUGUUUUU
ensembl:lncRNA